rnacentral:rRNA from 1 species
CCCUUAGAUGUUCUGGGCUGCACGCGCGCUACACUGAUGCAUUCAACAAGUUUUGUCCUUGGCUGAUAGGCCUGGGUAAUCUUUGAACGUGAAUCGUGAUGGGGAUAGAUGAUUGCAAUUAUUCAUCUUCAACGAGGAAUUCCUAGUAAACGCAAGUCAUCAGCUUGCAUUGAUUACGUCCCUGCCCUUUGUACACACCGCCCGUCGCACCUACCGAUUGAAUGGUCCGGUGAAAUCUUCGGAUCUGAGAGAUGUCUGAUUAAUUUCGGACGCCUUUUGGAAAAGUUGCUUAAACCUUACCAUUUAGAGGAAGGUGAAGUCGUAACA